AUUGAACGCUGGCGGCAGGCCUAACACAUGCAAGUCGAGCGGAUGAAGGGAGCUUGCUCCUGGAUUCAGCGGCGGACGGGUGAGUAAUGCCUAGGAAUCUGCCUGGUAGUGGGGGAUAACGUCCGGAAACGGGCGCUAAUACCGCAUACGUCCUGAAGGAGAAAGUGGGGGAUCUUCGGACCUCACGCUAUCAGAUGAGCCUAGGUCGGAUUAGCUAGUUGGUGGGGUAAAGGCCUACCAAGGCGACGAUCCGUAACUGGUCUGAGAGGAUGAUCAGUCACACUGGAACUGAGACACGGUCCAGACUCCUACGGGAGGCAGCAGUGGGGAAUAUUGGACAAUGGGCGAAAGCCUGAUCCAGCCAUGCCGCGUGUGUGAAGAAGGUCUUCGGAUUGUAAAGCGCUUUAAGUUGGGAGGAAGGGCAGUAAGUUAAUACCUUGCUGUUUUGACGUUACCAACAGAAUAAGCACCGGCUAACUUCGUG
rnacentral:rRNA from 1 species